rnacentral:rRNA from 1 species
GUAGGUGGCAAGCGUUGUCCGGAAUUAUUGGGCGUAAAGCGCGCGCAGGCGGUUCUUUAAGUCUGAUGUGAAAGCCCACGGCUCAACCGUGGAGGGUCAUUGGAAACUGGAGAACUUGAGUACAGAAGAGGAAAGCGGAAUUCCACGUGUAGCGGUGAAAUGCAUAGAGAUGUGGAGGAACACCAGUGGCGAAGGCGGCUUUCUGGUCUGUAACUGACGCUGAGGCGCGAAAGCGUGGGGGAGCAAACAGGAUUAGAUACCCUGGUAGUCCACGCCGUGAACGAUGAGUGCUAAGUGUUAGGGGGUUUCCGCCCCCCCCUUAGUGCUGCAGCUAACGCAUUAAGCACUCCGCCCUGGGGAGUACGGCCGCAAGGCUG